UACCCGCGGCAAGACGGAAAGACCCCGUGAACCUUUACUAUAGCUUGACACUGAACAUUGAGCCUUGAUGUGUAGGAUAGGUGGGAGGCUUUGAAGUGUGGACGCCAGUCUGCAUGGAGCCGGCCUUGAAAUACCACCCUUUAAUGUUUGAUGUUCUAACGUUGACCCGUGAUCCGGGUUGCGGACAGUGUCUGGUGGGUAGUUUGACUGGGGCGGUCUCCUCCUAAAGAGUAACGGAGGAGCACGAAGGUUGGCUAAUCCUGGUCGGACAUCAGGAGGUUAGUGCAAUGGCAUAAGCCAGCUUGACUGCGAGCGUGACGGCGCGAGCAGGUGCGAAAGCAGGUCAUAGUGAUCCGGUGGUUCUGAAUGGAAGGGCCAUCGCUCAACGGAUAAAAGGUACUCCGGGGAUAACAGGCUGAUACCGCCCAAGAGUUCAUAUCGACGGCGGUGUUUGGCACCUCGAUGUCGGCUCAUCACAUCCUGGGGCUGAAGUAGGUCCCAAGGGUAUGGCUGUUCGCCAUUUAAAGUGGUACGCGAGCUGGGUUUAGAACGUCGUGAGACAGUUCGGUCCCUA
rnacentral:rRNA from 1 species